UUCAAAGGGGAAAAGGUAGACUAGCUUCUUAGAAUAUUGCAAAUUUUCUUUUACUAAACUCUUAUAUAGUUUGUCAGUUUUAUAAAUCCACAGCUGAAAAUCCAACGCAAAUGACCCAGUCAUAUAGGAAGUGUGUUCACUUGCAGCCAGUUGAAGAUUAUGGUGAAAGAAAGUGGACAGGACAAAAGCCAACUAGCCAUGGCCCCUCUUCUCCACCAUGAACCUGAAUAUUUAUGACUAUGAAGUUCAUCAUCUGAAAUAGCACAAUAUCAGCCAUAACAGAAGUGACUUGCAGUUUCCUCCACACCACAAAUGGUGCCACAAAGCUCUCUAUAAAUCUUGCUGAAUGGGCUGUUUUACCUCAUUUUUGUGAAAUGCCAAGCAGAGUUCUGUCAGGCUGGCACUCAUUAGAUGCUGCAUUACCUCGAGAAGGCCAUUAAUGGCCACUGGAGGUGUUCCACCGACUUAAUGAUGCCCAUACCUCUUGGAAAAUGUAUGUGUAUAGCUGUCUACGGCCCAGGUAACAUUUUUCUCUUCCACAUUGAGGAAGCUGUCAGACAUGAGGAACACGUAAACUUAAUUCUAGGCAAAUAAAAUUUUCCGAGGUUGCUUUUAAACAAUAAUAGCAUAUUUGCCUUUAUGACUCAUCAGAGGUCGUAAGUGGAAAAGUGGAAAUAAUAACAGAGAAUCAAAUUGUGUUUAUAUUUGAUAUGUAAAACAGGAUAUGACUUUGAUACAAUUUUUAUCACACUAUGAAUUGCAAUUCAUUAUUGGAAUUUAUGCUGUUAUGUACAUCAGCAUGAUUCCCAUAGCACAAUGAAAAUUCAAACUUUUGUAAGCACCAUGGAACUCUUCCCUGUGUAAAUCAACUUAGCUGUGCCUAAUGCACAGGGCUGAGACAUUUUCCCUCUCCAGAACAAACUGCAUUUUAAUGUGCAAACCCGACUCUUAGACCUAGUCAUUGGCCUUUUCUGGAUGCAAAUGGAAAAUUCACACCCUCCCUAAUAAAGUUAUUAAUAAUUAAUACCAUUUAUACAUAUUAAUAUUAUUAAUACUAGCAUUAGCAAUGUUUGUAUAAUUAAUGUUGUCAUCAUUAAUGUCUCUAGGAUACACAUUCUUAGUAUUAAUGUUUAACUCUAUGGUUAAUUUAACAACUACUCUUACUUGGUGUUUAAUAAUGAAGUGCUCAGAUUGAGAUAUUUCUGUCUGUUCUUUACCAGAAGAGAAAUGCUCUUUACUCUUUCUUGCUUUUUUUUUUUUAAAGAAAAGAAAUUGAAGGUGUCAACAGAUAGGUCGAUUUUGUCCGAGGUCUCACAUUUUGUAAACUAUGGGAUUGCCAUUUAUAUCUUAAUCAUUUUGCCUCCAGAGCUAAGCCCCGCUUACUGCUUCCCUCCAUGGCCUUUCAUCCAUCUCAAGGGUGAUGUGCAUUCAGCAGAAUGGAUCCUUUGCAUCUUAGCAAAAAUGCUGUUCAGUGAUACCUAAUGUUUUCAGUGGUUUGGAGAAGUUGUAAGUGUUCACACUGAGCCAACUCACCAUAAGAAAGUAUUUUCUUAUCCUGUAUGCACACUUAACUUUUUGCAAUUGCUUUUGAUUGAAUUGUUAAGCUGUGAACUGUAAGAUAAGUCUAGACUACUUCUUACAUAAGCAAUAUCUUUCCAUUUCAUGUUUCUGUUCGCUUUUGGGAGCAACUGAGGAUUGAACCCAUGAUGACACACAUGCUAUGUAAGCAUUGAGUGACAGAACUAUAUUUCCAGUUCAUUCUCAAAUUUUGUUUAUUCAUUUAAUCUAUUUUAAAUGUUUUUAUUAGUUCUUUGAAAUUUUCAUACAAUGUGUUUGGAUAAUAGUCAGGCCAACACUUCCCAUAGCUGCCACACUUCCCUACCCACUCAAUUUUGUGUUCUGUAUGUGUUUCUAUAUCUGUCAAGUCCAACUUGUGCUAUGUGUAUGUAUUCUGCAUUUGGAGCCUUCCCUUGGAGUGUGGUAGACUUGCCCAGAACUAUACGCUUAAAGAUACAUCACUUUACUUCUCCCAAAAGCUAAUAAUUGCUAAUGGCUCAUUGGCUAUGGGUGGAAUUUCUUCCCAACUACCCUCUCCAUGUUGAGGUUUGGUCUGGCUUGGGCUUGCAUGGGUCUUGUGCAUGCCAUAAGAGCUGAUAGUUCAUAUGUGCAGUUAGCCUGUUGGGUUUGGAAGACUGUUUCCCUGUAGUCAUCUACUGCCUCUGGCUCUGAUAUUCUUUCCACUACCUCAUUCACAAGGAUCCCUGAGCCUUGAUGAGGGGACGUGUGAUGUAGAUGUCCCAGUUAGGGCUGUGAAUUCCACAAUGUUUCAUUCACUGUACUGAGGACCAGUAGUCUCUUUGUUAAUCACCAUCUACUUCAAAAAGAAGCUUCUCUUGUGAGGUCUGAGAGAUGCAUUAAUCUGUGAGUAUAAAGAUCACCCACUAACAGGUAGUUUAAUACUAUGCCCAUUUAGCAGAGUAAUAAUAGUCCGUUCUCCCUAAGGUCUAUGACCCAUCUAUCCAUAGUUUCCUAGCCCAAAUAAUGAUGCCAGGUGUGCAUUUCAUUUUGUAGAGUGGACCUUAAGUCCAAUCAAAUAGUGGUUUGGUUAUUCCCAUAAUGUUUGUGCUACUAUUGCACCAGCAGGCAUGUCUUACCAGGCCAGUCAUUAGUGUAGCUCACAGGAUCCAUAGCCUAUUAACACUGAUGAUUACUUUUCUCCUCUGGUAGGGUACAUAGCAUCUUCAAGUAAAAAAGCAAAACAACCAACCAACAAACAAACAAAAACCCUGUAGGCACAAAGCUUCAAGAUCAGCAUUAGCUUGAUAUCUUCUUGUUCUGUGUCUCAAUUAUGUGAUGUCAUCAGUGGUAGGGUUUUACUGUAAAGUUCUAGACAGCAAUCCAUAUUAUCAGCAGUAGCUUGUAAUAUUUGGGGCCUAUGGGACCUCACUGGCCAACAAAGUAAACCCAAAAGUAACCCUUUCUUCACACUGAACUUUUUAUUGGCUAUGCUGUGGUACCUUAUGGGAGCAUUGUGGCCUUGUUACAAGACUUUAUCGUGUGUGUGUGUGUGUGUGUGUGUGUGUGUGUGUGUGUGUGUGUGUGUGUGUGUGUGUGUGUGUGUGUGUGUGUGUGUGUGUGUGUGUUUUGCUUUGGUCUGUAUUUUAAAAAAUUUUAGAAGUAGGCUCUUAUUCAGAAUCACAUGUCCCUCAAUUUUUCCAUUAUUUGUGCCUUAAGUAUGCACAGGUUUAAAAUUCUUUCCAGAUUUAAGAUCUUCAGGGUUUUUUUUCUAUAUUCCUCAUUAACUAUGGGAGAAUCAUUAACUAUAUGAGAAGACAAUUAAAUUCUUAACCUUGAGCUGUCAAGCUCUGCCAGUAAUCUCUAGGUGAUGGUUUUGGAAAAUGGUCAACACAGUAUAUGAUAUUAUCACGAUCAGAUCACUGAAAUCCUUUUCUUGGACUGUUCAGAUAGAGUGAAAUUUAGCCAGACUUUAAAUUAUAUUGAAUAGAUACUUGUGAAGUGAGUGGGGUCCUUUGAGCCAUAUCUAAUUGCAGGCAUA